UCAUUUCGGAUAAACCUUGAUAAAAUGCAGUUUAACUAAUUUAGCGAAGUAGAGAAGAUUAUCCGGUGAACAAUCUUCACUAUUACUUUCAGGUAAGUAUUAUGGGCCUAUUAUCGACAUGUUUAACUUCAACGCUCAUUUAUACCACGACCUUAAUAGUUUUGAAGCGUAAGGGGUGAGUCAAUUUAAGUGAACUUAAGACUUAACAUAUAUAUGCGACUUUUAAUUAAAUUUACUUUUACGAAAGCCACUUUGCAAUUAUACUAGCAAAACUUUUAACCGCACCGGGAUUUUAAGUUUAAAUCUACUGCGAAACUGGUUUGAAAUAUUGCCGAUGGCGCUUCAACUAUAUACCGUCUACCAUAAAAUCUACAAAUUCUGGUUCUACACUGUGUAUAUGGUUUGAGCACCACCACUCGGAUCAGGCUUUAAACUCUAUAAUCAAAAGUUACUCUCCCCUCUUCCAAGAUUCUACUUUCUGACAUUUUACUACAAAGGAAAGAAGGAGAAUAGUAAAUCUUAAACCAACUGGCGCAUUCUCUAUUUUUAUUAAACCAAAAGCUUUAUCAGCUUGGAAAUCAGGGAACUGUCCUUCAACUGUUUGUCGUUAACUAAAAUCUUCGACUUAUAGAAUCAAGUUUUUUCUGGCUGAAGCAGUGUGCGAGCUCUCUGAAAUUUGAUAAUAUAUUGAUAAGUCCACAAAGUGAAUUGGCAUACUAUGACUUGCCCUUAAUAAGAUACUUUUCGAAAUACCAAUAAUAAAAAAGAGCGGGGAAAUAUCGACUGCUCCUUCCCCACCAAUAGGGCCCCUGUGUGGCGAAAAGCCCUCUAAAGAUUGACCAGCCAGCUCUUUUUAAACUUCUCCCGUCCAAUGAACCAACACAAUAUCCAAAAUAUCUUAUUUACUUUUAUUAAACUCAAAAUCCAUUUACAAAAGUACGAG